GUUCAGAUUGCAGUCAGCAACUCGACUGCAUGAAGUCGGAAUCGCUAGUAAUCGCGGAUCAGCAUGCCGCGGUGAAUACGUUCCCGGGCCUUGUACACACCGCCCGUCACACCAUGAGAGUCGGGAACACCCGAAGUCCGUAGCCUAACCGCAAGGGGGGCGCGGCCGAAGGUGGGUUCGAUAAUUGGGGUGAAGUCGUAACAAGGUACC
rnacentral:rRNA from 1 species